GCGUAAAGUAGCCUGCAUACUCUGCUUGCCUGAGCCUCCCCUGAAGAAGACGCGCUUCAGUAGCUGAGCAGUGUCCUGCAAAACAGUGCAAACUGUGAGACUGUGAGUCCACUUGGGUCACCGGAUUCUCCCUUGAAAGGCUUCACAGUUCUGGGCACUUCCUGGAGGUGUCUUGAGGCCAGUGUCUGAGGGAAGUCGACGGCAGCUGUAUGGACGGCACAAGCUCAGCUGAUCUCCGGUAAGUGGCGACUUUUUACCACAAUUUUCUCACCGAAAACUGCUGGUUGACAUUUGGUCGGGAUCCAUGUUAGCUUGACCGC